GCCAUUUCCCUCCUUACACCCCUCCCAAUGGGUGACAGUUGGAAAGUAACUAGAGGCAAAGGAUACGGAUUAUGCAAAGAAGGAAGGAGAGUCUGAGAAGAAGGGCUUUUUUGGAAGGAGGGUUGCCAGGCCUGGAACAAGCACAUGCCUAGAGGAAAAUCCCAUACUACAUACAAGGAGGAAGCCCAGGCCAGCAGCCGUUUUGCCUCAACUUGCGCACUCAUUUCAACAUUUCUCAUCUAUAAGCAAGGACACCUCUGGAAGACGCAAGGCCUGGUAAAUAUUUUUGAUAUAAACUAUUUGAUGUACACUUUAAAUGGAUGAAUUGUAUGCUAUCUGAAUUAUACUUCAGUGAGGCUGUUAAAAACACUUGUGGUUUUUUUGUUUGUCUUUUUAGUUCCCCAGUACUAUUCUAGCAAUCCUGGGUCCCUUCUGGCAUGACUUCAUGAAAGAACCCAGGCAGGAGCAAUUCAGGCCACCUCUCUGAAAUUGGGCCCAGGCCACAGGCCCCUAGGAAAGCUUCAUAGGUUAAGCCCCAGAGCUCCUGGGGCAUCUGGUUGACCUCACACAUAUGGGGCAGAGGGCUGGAGAGCCAGAGAUCAUUCCACAGAGGAGAAAAUGGAGAUGUGGCCAAGUGGGUCCCGGUCUGAAUUGCAGACUGACAGGGACUUAGAAAAUUUCAAGGAUCAGUUGGAUAAAUUGAAUAUGUUAGGGAAAAAAAAGAAAAAAAGAAUUUCAAGAAAGGUGCUUCAAAGUGGAGGGGGUGGGGAGGCUGGAGAGGAAAGGCUGGGACAGUGGCCCCUCAUGCCCUGCUGUAAGGGCAGGUAUCACUACAAAUAAAAUGUUUCUUCAAAAAUCCUUGCCAUUAGUGUUCAUUGAACUCUAAUAAUGUCAUUCCUCUCCUGUGGAAUGUCUAUAAAUGCACACUUAUUGAACUGGGAAACUGAGUACAGCAGAAAUAGAAAGAGAUUUUAAAUCUAGGCUAUAA